CAAUUAACUUGCGCUUAAAUUUCGGGACGAAAUUUCUUUAAGGAGGGUAGAUUGUAAUAACCUAGUUUUUUUUAAUCAAACAAUUUGGUGGCAAACACCGGUUCCGUGAUUUAAGGUUAGUGGACAAUUGCAUAAUUUGAAGGCCGGUGCUUUAACAUGAUUAUGCAUGAGUGGAAGAACGAAUCAAUUAAGCUAAGAAACGAAUUCUCUCUCUCUCACGUCCGAAACCACCCAAAACAGAGCAAAACUUCUCCAAACUCUCUCUCACUCCACCGGCCACCAAUCAAGACCAGAACACUUCCUAUAGCUUCGCCUCGACCUUGCGCAGCUGCAGGUGGCAGCCUUGAACCACGACACGGCCACCAGCGGCGGCGGGAAGCUCCGCCCGGUUUGAGCUCGUUUUGGUUCCAAGCUUGAUAUCUCAAGCUACCGGCCAACAAUCCUCACCAAACUUCACCCACGAGCUCGCCUCAACGUCCUGAAGCUCCCAGAAGUGGCCUUGCACGGCGGCGCUACUCGUGGUGGCGGCUGGAAGCCAGACCCGAUCAAAUCGAAAAACCGAAGCUUCGAUCGGUAUAUCUCGAGCUGUAGUGCAUCGUUUUGAUUGAUUCUUUUUCCAGUGGGUUCCCCUUGAUGUUGUUAACAACUCUCUAGAAGGCAUCGAGGCCUGAAAUUGAAGUUUUUACGUCGAUCGGAGCCCUCGCCGGAUUCUGCAAAAUUCUGCAAAUUUUCCGACCACCGAAGCUUUCGAUCGGUAUAUCUCGAGCUACAGACCAUAUUUUUCUGUGAUUCUUGAACCAAUGCGUUCGUCUUGAGUUUCUUAACAACUCUCUAGAAGGAAUCGAAGCCUGAAAUUGAAGUUUUGACGUCGAAAUCAAGCCUUGCCGGAUUCUGCAAAUUUCGCCGGAUUCUGGAAAUUUUCCGGCCACCUCGACUGUUCUAGGUUAUCGACGGAUUGAUUUGGUGGACGAUUCGGAUUGAUGUAUUUGGCUUUUUAGAAGACGCAGCUGGAUUAGAGCGGGAAAUCCUACAGGUCAGGAAGAUCAAGGCGGAGAUCGUGCGGGUUAGAGUUUUUGUUUCAGUUUACAGCUUUGUAAAUUGUGAGAUGUAUUAUUAAGAGGUGUGAAGUGUGGUUGUUGUGAGAAAAAAAUUCAGGACGUUUAUUCUAUUAAGUUGUAUAAUUCAUGUUUCGGAUUUUAAUUGUAUUUAAAAUUCGGGG